UUAGCUAUUUUAGAUAAGUUUGUAGUCAUGAAACUCAUGGGUGCAGACAACGCAAACUUGUUUGUAUCUAUGAUGGCUAGAGAAUUUUAAGUUGACCAAAUUCGCCACAUAGAUUUCGAAAAAAUCUAUGUGGCUUUAAUAGUUCAGUGAUGACGAUUCUGUUCAUCCGUUAGCAUCCACUUUAGAUUUUUGAC
rnacentral:ncRNA from 1 species